rnacentral:rRNA from 1 species
UGCAGUCGAGCGGACUUGAUAGAGAAGCUUGCUUCUCUGAUAGCGUUAGCGGCGGACGGGUGAGUAACACGUAGGCAACCUGCCCUCAAGCUUGGGACAACUACCGGAAACGGUAGCUAAUACCGAAUACUUGCUUUCUUCGCCUGAAGGAAGCUGGAAAGACGGAGCAAUCUGUCACUUGAGGAUGGGCCUGCGGCGCAUUAGCUAGUUGGUGAGGUAACGGCUCACCAAGGCGACGAUGCGUAGCCGACCUGAGAGGGUGAUCGGCCACACUGGGACUGAGACACGGCCCAGACUCCUACGGGAGGCAGCAGUAGGGAAUCUUCCGCAAUGGGCGAAAGCCUGACGGAGCAAUGCCGCGUGAGUGAUGAAGGUUUUCGGAUCGUAAAGCUCUGUUGCCAGGGAAGAACGUCCUUGAGAGUAACUGCUCAAGGAGUGACGGUACCUGAGAAGAAAGCCCCGGCUAACUACGUGCCAGCAGCCGCGGUAAUACGUAGGGGGCAAGCGUUGUCCGGAAUUAUUGGGCGUAAAGCGCGCGCAGGCGGUCAUUUAAGUCUGGUGUUUAAUCCCGGGGCUCAACCCCGGAUCGCACUGGAAACUGGAUGACUUGAGUGCAGAAGAGGAGAGUGGAAUUCCACGUGUAGCGGUGAAAUGCGUAGAGAUGUGGAGGAACACCAGUGG